UCCCGUGUGGCUCAGUUGGUAGAGCAUGGUGUUUACAAUGCCAAGGUUGUGGGUUCUUUUCCCAUUGGGGGAC
rnacentral:tRNA from 1 species